rnacentral:tRNA from 1 species
GGUCCUAUGGUGUAAUGGUUAGCACUCUGGACUUUGAAUCCAGCGAUACGAGUUCAAAUCUCGGUAGGACCU